GGUACGCUGGUGGUCUUGCAAAUCACAUCGUUUGAAUGUUGAAAGGAUUAGUUUGUAUAGGUCGUUCUUUGAGUUUUGCGUUUCAACAGCGGCACCGUUCACGGACUCUAUUUUUUCUGCCAUUAUCAUGCUGUCGAUACUCAUGCUGAAGAGUCAAGAUACGUUGUCUAAACGCCAAACGUUUUCGCUUUGAUAGCAUUGAAAUAAAAUUUUCACAUGUAUGGUAAUGUUUAGUCGAGUUGAUUUGACGUACCUUAUCUCUUCGUAUAAUGCAGAAGCAUCAAUUCGUAAAAGUUAAAGAUGAAAUGCAUUCACUAUCGCUAUAAAAAUCAAAUCAAAGCAUACAAUUUUUCAAAAAGA